GGGCCCGCACAAGCGGUGGAGCAUGUGGUUUAAUUCGAUGAUACGCGAGGAACCUUACCAGGGCUUAAAUGCAGAACGACAGAGGUGGAAACACCUCCUUCUUCGGACGGUCUGCAAGGUGCUGCAUGGUUGUCGUCAGCUCGUGCUGUGAAGUGUCGGGUUAAGUCCCAUAACGAGCGCAACCCCUAUUUCUAGUUGCCAGCGGUUCGGCCGGGGACUCUAGAGAAACUGCCAGCGUAAGCUGUGAGGAAGGUGGGGAUGACGUCAAAUCAUCACGGCCCUUACGUCCUGGGCCACACACGUGCUACAAUGGUAAGGACAGAGGGAAGCCACCCCGCGAGGGGAGCGGA
rnacentral:rRNA from 1 species